AUUGAACGCAGGCGGCAGGCCUAACACAUUCAAGUCGAUCGAGCGGCGAACGGGUGAUUAAUGUAUGGGGACUGCCAUAUAGAGGGGGAUCACUACUGGAAACGGUUGCUAAUACCGCAUACUAUCGGAUAACCCAUAUGGGAUUAGCUAGUAGGUGGGGUAAAGGCUCACCUAGGCGCCGAUCUCUAGCUGGUCUGAGAGGAUGAUCAGCCACACUGGGACUGAGACACGGCCCAGAGUCCUACGGAGGAAGCAGUGGGGAAUAUUGAACAAUGGGCGCAAGACUGAUGCAGCCAUGCCGCGUGUAUGAAGAAGGCAUUGGGGUUGUAAAGUACGUUCAGCGGGCAGGCGUUAACCGCAGAAGAAGUACCGGCUAACGUCGUGCCAGCAGCCGCGGUAAUAC
rnacentral:rRNA from 1 species